UGAUGUCUCUGGAAGAUAUUGACUUUCUAUUGGCAAGGUUGGAACUCCUGUCUUGAUGCCAUGAUUGGUUUUGUGGCAGAAUGUAUGCCAUAACAUGGAUCCCUCCAAAAUCAACCCCUUCAUGCCUGCAGUCCGUUCUCCAGCUGCUUCAGUUGCUGUGGGCACUUGGUUUUAAGGACAUAGCUCCUGAGCACUUCAUGGUAUCCCCAUGUUCUACAGCACCAUAAGGGAAUUUUCUUAAUUCUGUGGGUGAUGUACAUUGUGAAUAUCGAAUGUUGUUGGUAUACUAUUAAUUGCAUUUUUUAUCUUAGUUAUGGCCGGGUCCUAGAGUAUUUAACAUCUCACGCACCUCUAGCACCAACAUAAAUACAUUGUUUUAUUUGUCAGUGUGUGUUUAAGCACAAUAGCUAACACAGCUAUGAAUGAGGGGGGCUGUCAGCUGCAGGGAUUUUUGAUAAUUGCUUCAGUUAUAGGACAUGGCAACGAAUCACAGACUGAGGACUUCCUUACACAAAGCCUAAGAAUGGAAUAUAAUAUCCUUAUGGUGUCUGAUAUGUCCUGUUAACCUCUACCAAAAAACUGAAGUGGUUUUCACUCAUGAUAAAUGAUAGAAUCCUCCUAUAACAAACUUGUAAGAAAGACCAGGG